AGAGGGUGCGAGCGUUGUCCGGAAUCACUGGGCGUAAAGGGCGCGUAGGCGGCCUGCUAAGUAGAGGGUGAAAUCCUGCGGCUCAACCGCAGGGCUGCCUUCUAAACUGUCAGGCUGGAGCACGGUAGAGGCAGAUGGAAUUCCCGGUGUAGCGGUGGAAUGCGUAGAGAUCGGGAAGAACACCAGUGGCGAAGGCGGUCUGCUGGGCCGUUGCUGACGCUGAGGCGCGACAGCGUGGGGAGCAAACAGGAUUAGAUACCCUGGUAGUCCACGCCGUAAACGAUGGGUACUAGGCGUCGGGGGGAGCGACCCUCCCGGUGCCGUCGCUAACGCAGUAAGUACCCCGCCUGGGGAGUACGGCCGCAAGGCUG
rnacentral:rRNA from 1 species